CUUGACAGAUAAUGUAAUUCAAACAAAUUAAGAGAAAAUAUGUAGAAAUAGAUAGAAGAUGAAGUUUGGUUGGAAUAUAUCAAAACUCGAAGAAAGUUUAUAGUGAGAGAGAAUGAAGUUGAAAAGAGAAGGCAAGGCAGAGAAAGGACUACCCUGUACUACAGUGGAAAAUAGGAAAGGGAGAGAAGCUUGUGGGGGGAUUGUGUAUAAGAUACUGAAGAUCUUUAUGGGGAUCUAAGCCAGCCAGAACACAAUGACAAAGGCAAUCAAUCACGUGGUCCUAAGAAGUAAGAACCAACAAAAACAACAGGUUUCCAAUUCCACAGUGCUCAAACACCAUCCAUUCCAUCGUAUAUCCAUGUCACUAGCUUUGAUUGUUGCUUUGCAUCAGUAAACAGCCGUACGUGCAUGGAAUUUGAGGAAGUACUAUGUGACAGAAAACAGAGAUGUCUCAUAUCUCUGUUUUCAAUUUUAAUUUCAUCCCUCCAUGUUGUUUCAACUCAACAAUAAGAUUCUGUUUUGCUGUCAUUUUUAUUUCACUCUUCUACAUUAUAAGUUAGUGGUGCUUGCAUGUACAGUUGCUGUUGUGUUGUGUUCAGAACAUUGUAACAACAAAAUGAUCCAAAUCCUUUGAACCAGACACUCCAACCGUGGUUAUUGUGAGUUUGAUUUUGCAAGUCAUCUGAGUGUAUUUUGUCAUCAUGCACCAUAAUGUCUCCUUUGUUGCUAUUAUCUUUUAUUCUUGUUGAAUUGAUUGAUGUACCUUGUCUCAAUUGAUAGAUGUAUAUUUUGUAAUUGUCAAGCAAGUGGAAAUAUGAAGAGAUAUGUUUUGUCA